CCUACGGGAGGCAGCAGUGAGGAAUAUUGGUCAAUGGGCGCGAGCCUGAACCAGCCAAGUAGCGUGAAGGAUGACUGCCCUACGGGUUGUAAACUUCUUUUAUAAAGGAAUAAACUGAGGCACGUGUGCCUUUUUGUAUGUACUUUAUGAAUAAGGAUCGGCUAAUUCCGUGCCAGCAGCCGCGGUAAUACGGAGGAUCCGAGCGUUAUCCGGAUUUAUUGGGUUUAAAGGGAGCGUAGAUGGGUUUUUAAGUGAGUUGUGAAAGGUUGCGGCUCAACCGUAGAAUUGCAGUGGAUACUGGCGGGCUUGAGUGCGCUUGAGGUAGGCGGAAUUCGUGGUGUAGCGGUGAAAUGCUUAGAUAUCACGAAGAACUCCGAUUGCGAAGGCAGCUUACUGAACUGUCACUGACGUUGAUGCUCGAAGGUGUGGGUAUCGAACAGGAUUAGAUACCCUUGUAGUC
rnacentral:rRNA from 1 species